UCACACCCUUUCCCCCAAAUCUCCUAAAUAUAAUUCUCCCCCAAAUCUUUCAAAGGCCUUUCAUCUUCACCACAAAGAACCACCGUCUUCACUUGUAACCGUCUGCCACUGCGGGAAACGAACAGCCAUUGACGACUCUUCUUGAAUCUGGGCUUGUGUCGAACCAUCUUCAAUGAGCAUGUGUCAAAUUUGCGUGAAUCUGGUCUUGUUUAAAAUUCGUGCCUUUACCUGUGAUCGCCUACCCCUUUCAUCAUCAUCGCAACGAGCCUGCGUCGAAACUGUGUGAAUCAACGGGUUUGGAAGAAUUGGUCGAUUGGUGGCUAGGGUCGCUUUGAAGAGAGUUGAUGUUGAGCUUGUUGUUGUCAACGACCCAUUUAUCUCUGUGAUGUACAUGGUUUGUAAAUUUUAUUAUCUAAUUGCAUUCGUAGUAGAGUUGAGUUUUGGGGGGUUUUGAAUAUUAAACAAUGUAAAAUUAGGUUGAAUUAACUUCAGUAGAUGGUGGAUUUAUUAGUUGAUAGUUAUGUUGACUUUGAAUUUGACUUGGUUAUAAUUUAUGUGCA